rnacentral:rRNA from 1 species
UCAGGAUGAACGCUGGCGGCACGCCUAACACAUGCAAGUCGAACGGAGUUUAUGGGAGCUUGCUCCUAUAAACUUAGUGGCGGACGGGUGAGUAACACGUGAGCAACCUGCCUUUCAGAGAGGGAUAGCUUCUGGAAACGGAUGGUAAUACCUCAUAACAUACGGAUUCGGCAUCGUUUCUGUAUCAAAGAUUUAUCGCUGAAAGAUGGGCUCGCGUCUGAUUAGCUGGUUGGUGAGGUAACGGCCCACCAAGGCAACGAUCAGUAGCCGGACUGAGAGGUUGAACGGCCACAUUGGGACUGAGACACGGCCCAGACUCCUACGGGAGGCAGCAGUGGGGAAUAUUGCACAAUGGGCGCAAGCCCUGAUGCAGCGAUGCCGCGUGAGGGAAGAAGGUUUUCGGAUUGUAAACCUCUGUCAUCGGGGACGAAAAUGACGGUACCCGAGAAGGAAGCUCCGGCUAACUACGUGCCAGCCGCCGC